UUACUAGCUCAUUCAGUAGAGCAUGAGUCUCUUAAUUCCAGGGUCGUGGGUUUGAGUCCCACAUUGGGCAAAA